AUGCACCAGAUACACGCCUGACAGUCCACUUGGUCCCAGAGGUGUUGAACACUUCUGGGACUUUCUAUGGCUGCAUGGCUUCAAAUGGUGCGAGAACAUCAUCAGCCCUGACAUUUAAGCUUUUCAGUGGAAAGCAACACUGUGUGAGUUAUGGCUCAGAGGCACAGAC